rnacentral:rRNA from 1 species
AGCGAACGCUGGCGGCAAGCCUAACACAUGCAAGUCGAACGGAUCCUUCGGGAUUAGUGGCGGACGGGUGAGUAACACGUGGGAACGUGCCCUUUGGUUCGGAACAACUCAGGGAAACUUGAGCUAAUACCGGAUGUGCCCUUCGGGGGAAAGAUUUAUCGCCAUUGGAGCGGCCCGCGUCUGAUUAGCUAGUUGGUGAGGUAAAGGCUCACCAAGGCGACGAUCAGUAGCUGGUCUGAGAGGAUGAUCAGCCACAUUGGGACUGAGACACAGCCCAAACUCCUACGGGAGGCAGCAGUGGGGAAUCUUGCGCAAUGGGCGAAAGCCUGACGCAGCCAUGCCGCGUGAAUGAUGAAGGUCUUAGGAUUGUAAAAUUCUUUCACCGGGGACGAUAAUGACGGUACCCGGAGAAGAAGCCCCGGCUAACUUCGUGCCAGCAGCCGCCGUAA